GAGAUGGUGAAAUUUGACAAAGUGAGGAUCCGUCGUCGGAAUCCCGGCUGUCGUGCGCCUGAUUGAUUGUAGCAAUCUCGGGCUGCAAUUGUGACGAUUUCCAACUUGCCAUCUAGAGUUAUGUUUUUUACCUUGAUAUUUGAUUUCCUCAGAAAUGGCAGCGGAGGGUUGAAACUAUCAUUGCAGGUGAUGAGGAACUCCGGGCUUAGAUUACAGCCGUCUAAGCCAAAAGGGUAUGGAAUGGUUGAAUUUCCACAACGAUCAGAGCAGUGAAGCCUAUCUUGGGCUGCUGCUGGCGCUUCAAUAGCUGAUAAUAGCACAACCACCAUAAGCAAAGCAAGGAAACCCAUGGUGUCAAGCCGCCAAGAACUGCUACAAUUUUC
rnacentral:misc_RNA from 1 species